AAGUUCAACAAGGGUCACCGUACCCGUUUCAUAGAGAAUGGAGUGAUGCUGCCGCCACUGCGGAUGAGGGCUCACAAGACGACAGUUAAGAUGGAGUACGAUGAGCGAUACACACCGUUCUUCAGGAGAGCCCGACUAUUGGGUUUCGUCCUGCAAUUCAAGCGUAAGCCGCCGACGCUCGUCCACUCAGCUCUCACGGUUUUGAUCGACCGAUGGCGGCCAGAGACGCACAACUUCCAUCUUCCAUGUGGGGAGAUGACCGUGAUCCUCCAGGAUUGGGGGAUGAUUAUGGACCUACCGUUCUAG
rnacentral:rRNA from 1 species